CUGGACCAGGACGGCCAAAGGAAUGCAGAGGGGGUGACCUUGGCCCCCUUUUGCCGCUACUGCCAAGCUAAGCUAGCAGCCUGAGAUCAGAGCACAGAAACUCUGAUAGAACUCUUGAGGAAAAGACCUUCAACUGAAAACUGCCCGAGAUGUUCUGACUCAGGGGCUGAAUCCCCUGAGGAAGAGACCUUCAUGGGGAUCUUACACUCCAUGAUAUGACGUGGUGAAGCGAGUUUUGUCCCUGCUACGCAGUCCACGGAAGAAAAGACCCUCGCUUGAAGACGACGGGCUGAGGGACUUGGAUACCCCUGUGUUUCUCCAUGAUGUUCUUGUUGAAAGAGGUGAGAUAUCCAGAAAAAAAUUAGAUUCUGUGUGAAAAAAAAGGAAGAAGCUGACCAAUAAGCUGCCUAGAAAGCAUCCAGCCUGGAUCUCAGCUGCAAA